GGUUCAAAUCACGAAAAGACUCCAAGAAUGCCCAAGAGAACUCCUGAGAAGCAAUCCAGUUUCACUGGAGAAAUAUAUUGACUGACCUGCUGGACUGGAGCUAAAGCUGACACAACUUGUCCUGGGGGUGGGGUAAAGGUGGAUUUGCCUUUCACAUGUAAACGAGUUAUAGGAGAAAUAGAAAGAAAUGCAGCCAUGCUUAUUGUCUAUUAGCAGGAUCAUCUAUUAAAAACCACGUUUUGAAGAGAAAAUUAAGAUCUUAGAUGUGUAAGUUGUAAUAAGUCUCUACUAUGGCAGAGAGAGAAAGUGUCCUGAUUCCUAGCCCAAACAAAUGUCCAUAUGAACAGCCUUUCUGUCCAUAAAAAAUUGAGUCUUAUUGAGCACUAUGUACUAGGCAGCACCUUAAAUAUUUUCUGCUAGAUAGAUG
rnacentral:lncRNA from 1 species